UCAUGGGCCAUAUAGGGUCAGAUAUUCCUUUUGCUUAGUGAUAGAGGCCUCUCGUAGGUCUAAUUUGCAGGUCCAAUAUGUAAAUCUUGAUGAUGACUCAUAGAGAUUCUUCUGUUUGCAAGAGAUGGAACUUCUGGUAUUUCCCCCCUCCCCAGUUUCUUUUGUAAUAGUAUUUCUGGAGUUGGUGAGUGAACUUCUUUGAGUGUCUAUGUUUAUCUGAGUGGAGGCAUGUCUGUGUGCUCAUCUGCAUAUGCUUUUUAUUGUUGCAUGCCUGGGAGUCUGCAAUGAGGGGCAGGGAGUGGAAAUAUUUCAGAUCAAUCCACCCCAGACAAAUAUUCAUUCUCUUUCACUGUCCCCUGUGCAAUAAUAACAAUGUGACUUUUAGAAAGAGUAUAAAGCCUGGAUAGGGCAAAAUGAGAAGACACCCCUCUAUGUGUAAAUCCCCUGUGGGAUCCCUCUAGGUGGUAACAUUGAUCAUAGGAACAUAUGGAGGCUUCUGGAUAGCCCAAGAUAUUUGAUGGUGAAGAUGCAUGAUCCCCUACAAUAUCUGGGGCAAUGACCCAUUUCUUUGGGUCUCCUGACCUCUAUUUGUGCUCUUUGUUUCAGCUCUUGCCUAUUUGCUGUUUGACGAAGAACCCUCCAUUGGUAGAGAGAUCUUUGCCAUCUUUGAGCAGAUGAACUGGCCUGCACCACGCAGACAGUCCUCCUCACUGAGAAGCCACUUCUACUACAGCUUCUUAUGAUUGGCUCAGGAAGCCAGAAGAAAUUGGACAGUUGCUCUCCUGAAAAGGCUCUCCUCCUGCUUCUGUUGACCAGAGAACAACCACCAUGGAAUACCAACACAUAGGGGAGUCAGUCCUGCCCCCUAUUGCAAUGCUGCCUCAUCACAGAAUGUAAAGCAAGAACAUCGAUGUACAGCAGAAGGGGAUGGACUGUCAACUUGCCAGAAGGCUGGUGGCUGAAACUUAAUUUGUAGAUAGGCUUGUAUAAACGUUUGCACCUUUCUGAUUUUUAAUAAAAC